AUUGAACGCUGGCGGCAGGCCUAACACAUGCAAGUCGAGCGGAUGAAGGGAGCUUGCUCCUGGAUUCAGCGGCGGACGGGUGAGUAAUGCCUAGGAAUCUGCCUGGUAGUGGGGGAUAACGUCCGGAAACGGGCGCUAAUACCGCAUACGUCCUGAGGGAGAAAGUGGGGGAUCUUCGGACCUCACGCUAUCAGAUGAGCCUAGGUCGGAUUAGCUAGUUGGUGGGGUAAAGGCCUACCAAGGCGACGAUCCGUAACUGGUCUGAGAGGAUGAUCAGUCACACUGGAACUGAGACACGGUCCAGACUCCUAAGGGAGGCAGCAGUGGGGAAUAUUGGACAAUGGGCGAAAGCCUGAUCCAACCAUGCCGCGUGUGUGAAGAAGGUCUUCGGAUUGUAAAGCACUUUAAGUUGGGAGGAAGGGCAGUAAGUUAAUACCUUGCUGUUUUGACGUUACCAACAGAAUAAGCACCGGCUAACUUCGUG
rnacentral:rRNA from 1 species